rnacentral:tRNA from 1 species
CCUUCGAUAGCUCAGUUGGUAGAGCGGGGGCUGUAGAUUUAUAAUUGUGAUCCCUAAUUCGCUGGUUCGAAUCCGGCUCAAAGGA